rnacentral:lncRNA from 1 species
CCUCUCACUCCCUAUGCCCGUCAUCUCUCUCUCAUCACUCCCUAUGUCCGUCAUCACUCUCUCUCAUCACUCCCUAUGCCCGUCAUCCCUCUAUCCCUCUCACUCCCUAUGCCCGUCAUUCCUCUCACUCCCUAUGCCCGUCAUCACUCUCUCUCAUCACUCCCUAUGCCCGUCAUCACUCUAUCCCUCUCACUCCCUAUGCCCGUCAUCCCUCUAUCCCUCUCACUCCCUAUGCCCGUCAUUCCUCUCACUCCCUAUGCCCGUCAUCCCUCUAUCCCUCUCACUCCCUAUGCCCGUCAUCCCUCUAUCCCUCUCACUCCCUAUGCCCGUCAUCCCUCUCACUCCCUAUGCCCGUCAUCACUCUCUCUCAUCACCCCCUAUGCCCGUCAUCCCUCUAUCCCUCUCACCCCCUAUGCCCGUCAUCCCUCUAUCCCUCUCACUCCCUAUGCCCGUCAUCCCUCUCACUCCCUAUGCCCGUCAUUCCUCUAUCCCUCUCACUCCCUAUGCCCGUCAUCCCUCUAUCCCUCUCACUCCCUAUGCCCGUCAUCCCUCUGUCCCUCACUCCCUAUGCCCGUCAUCCCUCUAUCCCUCACUCCCUAUGCCAGUCA